UUAGGUAACUUCAGCAGACUUCCUUGAAUUCGAUUAUACUGUUUUGCUUCAUGACUUUGUAUCACAGGAGAUCAUUCCAUGGCAGAUGCAGGUUCUAUGGAAUCCAAAAGAAGGCAUUAAAGUGGAAAGGAAUGCUCGCAAACCUAAAAGCUGUGGUCAUUAUUAGGAAACAAGAUAUCAACUUUGAUAGCAGAAAUUGCAGUUAUGAAAAGAAGCAGAUUAGUAUACUCUCUUUUUUUUCUGCAGUUUAUAAUACAGAUAAAGUCCACUUUGUUGUAAAAUGCUUGGGUACUGUGCAACAUUGCAAACCUUUCUGCUACAACAGAAGUCGGAGUAAAUAAAAUCUCUGGUCCUAUAUUA